rnacentral:rRNA from 1 species
UAAACUAGGAUUAGAUACCCUAUUAUUUUAUAAGUUAAUUUUUACCUGGGUAUUAAUAGUUAUGUUCUUUAAACCUAAAGAAUUUGGCGGUAUUUUAUUUCUAUUUAGAGGAACUUGCCCCUUUAUCGAUAAUCCUCGUUUUAUCUUGCUUGAUUUUGUUUAUCAGUAUGUAUAUCGCUGUUAUAAGUUUAUUUUUUUAGGAUUUUAAUUUACUUUAUUCAUUAUUUUGAUUUAUUUCAA